rnacentral:lncRNA from 1 species
GCCCAGGCCAAGCUUGAACUUCUGGCCUCAAGCGAUCCUCCUGCCUUGGCCUCUCAAAGUGCUGGGAUUACAGGCUUGAGCCACGGCACCCUGCCAAAGAGAACACAGAAUUUGCUACACACUGAAUACAAAAAUGAAACCAUCUAAGUCGGGAUCCAGAGAGCUCCUUCUAUUCCCUCUAGGUGCCCCAGGCCAUCCCAACCUACCCUAGUAAAAACAUUUCCCCAGUCCUGCAGUUUUAGGAAUGAAUGCAUAAAAAUAACAAAAGGUGGCAGUGGGUGAGGCUAUAUGAUAGCUAAGAAGCCUGUGCGAUGAGUCAAGGCUAUUGUCAUCUUGAAGCUAGGUGCGCUUGCCGUAUUUUCUAUCUCCUUUGGUUUUCAUGGCCCCUACCAUUGUCAGGUUCCUCUAGUUAGAAUUUGUGUGAGCAGUCGAAUUUGACAGGUGAUGAUCAUCUGGGUUACAGAAAGGAAGCACGUCAAAGGGUUUGCUAUAAUGACAAGAAAUUACAGAGCCGCAAUAUUCAGUGUGAUGCAGCACAAAAUCCUCUCCCUGAGAGCUGAAACUGUGUAUCAAGCCAAAGCAGUGUUGGUCUGUAUGGAGCGGUCACCGGCUACCUUUAGUGAUAACGUUGCUAGGAUAUGAAACUCCAAAUGCACUGUUAGUGUGAAAAUGGGAUUUUUAUAUUUGAAAAAAAAAAAGAGGUUGGGGGAGAAAGGAAGAAUAAGGAAAAAAGAAAGAAAAGAAAAGUCAGGAAAACAGUCAGUCCCUGGUGCUUUUCCUGGGCAUUAGAGGCACAGGGAUGACAUCACCAGCAGCCUAUCAGGGCUCUCCAGCUUUGUUCAGGUUCUGAAGCCAUGUCAUCAUCGCCGCUGUAGCCCAGAAAUGAAAAUAGAACCAUCUCUAAAUAUACAACAAUGAGAGUCAAGCACUGCUUUAAAAGGAUGAGAGAACCAAGAAAAACUCCUUAAAUCCUUAAAUCAUAGAGUCUUCCUUUCAUAAAGAAACUAGAAUUUGCCUUCUGGAGCCACUAACCCCAGUAUUUAUUUUAGUCUGCUUGAGACUUUACAAACUGGCAGUUAAAGCUAAUUAAAACAUGACUGACACCACCAUCAUUCCAGUUUGCUCCUGGAUGUGGGACAGAGGCAGGUAGACUCUUCCCUAACAGGCAGCAGCAGGAUUAUGGCCACAGUGUCAAAGGGACAGUUUAUUUGGUUUGGAUAUGGGGACAUAGGACUCCCCAGAAAGGUGGGCAAGUGGCUGUUAUUGUUAGUAGGUUUCACUUAGCUAAAAGCACAGUUUACAGUUGCUGAAGUUUGAUUGAUCUGUUGAUAAACACUAAUGUUUUCCAGUUGACAAUUUCUCCAUGUUAAUUUCUUUAACGCUGGCAGACCUGCCUGGAAGGGACCUAUAAAUAGUAUCAGUGUCAUC